GGGGGAUUUUGAACAUGGGGCGCAAGCUUGAUCCAGCCCAUGCCGCGUGUCUGAAGAAGGCUUUCGGUNNGUAAAGGACUUUUGUCAGGAAGAAAAAGGCGGGGGUUAAUACCCCUGUCUGAUGACGUACNNUGAAGAAUAAGCACCGGCUAACUACGUGCCAGCAGCCGCGGUAAUACGUAGGGUGCGAGCGUUAAUCGGAAUUACUGGGCGUAAAGCGGGCGCAGACGGUUACUUAAGCAGGAUGUGAAAUCCCCGGGCUCAACCUGGGAACUGCGUUCUGAACUGGGUGACUAGAGUGUGUCAGAGGGAGGUAGAAUUCCACGUGUAGCAGUGAAAUGCGUAGAGAUGUGGAGGAAUACCGAUGGCGAAGGCAGCCUCCUGGGAUAACACUGACGUUCAUGCCCGAAAGCGUGGGUAGCAAACAGGAUUAGAUACCCUGGUAGUCCACGCCCUAAACGAUGUCGAUUAGCUGUUGGGCAGCAUGACUGCUUAGUAGCGAAGCUAACGCGUGAAAUCGACCGCCUGGGGAGUACGGUCGCAAGAUUAAAACUCAAAGGAAUUGACGGGGACCCGCACAAGCGGUGGAUGAUGUGGAUUAAUUCGAUGCAACGCGAAGAACCUUACCUGGUCUUGACAUGUACGGAACCCUCCAGAGACGGAGGGGUGCCUUCGGGAGCCGUAACACAGGUGCUGCAUGGCUGUCGUCAGCUCGUGUCGUGAGAUGUUGGGUUAAGUCCCGCAACGAGCGCAACCCUUGUCAUUAGUUGCCAUCAUUAAGUUGGGCACUCUAAUGAGACUGCCGGUGACAAGCCGGAGGAAGGUGGGGAUGACGUCAAGUCCUCAUGGCCCUUAUGACCAGGGCUUCACACGUCAUACAAUGGUCGGUACAGAGGGUAGCCAAGCCGCGAGGUGGAGCCAAUCUCACAAAACCGAUCGUAGUCCGGAUUGCGACUCUGCAAACUCGAGUGCAUGAAAGUCGGAAUCGCUAGUAAUCGCAGGUCAGCAUACUGCGGUAAAUACGUUCCCGGUUCUUGCACACACCGCCCGU
rnacentral:rRNA from 1 species